UGAUCAUACUGUAUGUUGUUCAUGUGUAUUUAUCAUACUGUAUUUUGAUCAUGUGUAUUGAUCUCCUUGUCUGUAUUCCAGAUGAACCGACCCAUCCAGGUAAAACCAGCUGACAGCGAGGGGAGAGGAGAAGACAGGAAGUUGUUUGUGGGCAUGCUGGGUAAACAGCAGAGUGAUGAAGACGUCAAGAGGCUGUUUGAGCCCUUUGGCACUAUAGACGAGUGUACUGUACUACGGGGGCCAGACGGCACCAGUAAAGGUUGUGCGUUUGUGAAGUACCAGGGACAUGCUGAAGCUCAGGCUGCCAUUAGCACCCUGCAUGGGAGCCGCACACUGCCUGGUGCGUCGUCCAGUCUGGUGGUGAAGUUUGCCGACACAGAGAAGGAGAGAGGGCUGAGACGGAUGCAGCAGGUGGCAUCACAGCUGGGCAUCUUCAGCCCCACCAUGACACUUAACUUCCCUGCUUACAACGCUUACACACAGGCCGUCAGCGCACAGGCGAUUGUCCAGCAACAAGCUCUGGUUGCUCAGUCAGCGUACCUGUCUCCUGUAGCAACUGUUGCCAGUUUACAGAUGCAGCAGAUGGCAGCGCUCAACGCAAACGGAAUCAUCGCCACGCCAAUCACAUCUUCCUCUGAGUCUAGUAGCUGUCAAUCACAAUAUCUCCUCCACUGUGAUUGGUCCUCCCGGUUUGCAGGUACGAAUACCCCUCCAACCAUCUCAGCCACGCCCGUGCCAUCACUACCUCCACCUCUAGGAGUCAAUGGUUACAGUCCACCAACCAAUGGACAGCAAGCAUCAGAAGCACUAUACACCAAUGGCAUUCAUGCGUACCAAGCCCAGAGUCCAGCAUUAUCUCUAGAUCCUCUCCAGCAGGCGUAUGCAGGCAUGCAGCACUACACAGCGGCGUACCCUGCUGCCUAUGGAUUGGUCGGCCAGCAUUUUCCACAGCAACCUACCCUGGUUGCCCAGCAACACCAGCAGCCCCAGCAACAGCAGCAGCGAGAAGGGCCGGAGGGUUGUAAUAUCUUUAUCUACCACCUGCCUCAGGAGUUCAGUGACAGUGAGAUGCUCCAGAUGUUUCUGCCCUUUGGAAACGUCAUCUCAGCUAAAGUCUUUGUAGACCGCGCCACCAACCAGAGCAAGUGCUUCGGUUUUGUGAGUUUUGACAACCCAUCCAGUGCCCAGACUGCCAUCCAGGCUAUGAAUGGGUUCCAGAUCGGCAUGAAGAGACUCAAGGUGCAGCUGAAACGACCUAAAGACGCCAACCGCCCCUACUGAAGGAGAGAGGAGAGAGAUCCUCCCGUCCAAUCAUAAUUCGCGGGGAUCCCAUCACUAUGGUUACCUAGCGACCGAUAAAGCCCCGACCCCCCUUCCUCUCACGUGUUGUGAAGUUUUCAGACUCCGGCCGUGGUGGAAUCCCAGCGUACAUUGCGCCCUCAGACCUACUACCUUUCUUUUGAGCGACGGGGAACAGCACACAUACACACACACACACACACACACACACACACACACACACAAACACACACACACACAUUGCACUCUAAAAGGACCAAGGCACAGAUAUUGACCAAUGUACAUAUUAUAGUCCUCACACACACAAACACUCACAUACUUUCAAAUACAUAUAUGUCAGUAAUCGUACCCAUUGAACUGGACUCAGUUUGAAAAUGGUUUGUGAGGAGUUUGUCUGGAGUGUGUAGGGCAGUGAAGAUCACAUACAUACACGACCCAGGAAGUACUUACUAAAGUCAUUGAUGAGAUGAUGAAUAAUGGUGAUAUAUCACUUCUUUGGACCAUAACAUGUCAUAUUACAUGGCUAUUACAUGUGUAUAACAUGAUACAAAUAGGAAGGCCUCCAUUUCGUAAUAAAAAAAGGAAAACAGGAAAAAAUAUUGAGACAAAAAUGAAUAAUUUAGAGAAACUUUGGAGAGAGAUCCUUAUGGCCUGUAAAUAAUUUAGUUUAAGAAGAGUAACAUUUAGAAAAUUACAAAAAAAUGCAAAAAGAGAGUACUUUAGAUAAAUCACUGAAAAAUGACACAAUAUUAUUAUUAUUAUGAUUAUUAUUGUUAUUAUUAUUAUUAUCUUCGUUAGGGGAUAUUGUAUUAGAAAUAAAGAAAGGGGAGAAUCACAAACAUAUUUUCAAUUUCUACUUAGAUUUUAGGAUAAAUGUAGGUGGGAGGGACUGCACCUUUUCUGAGAGGUUUUAAUAUUUGAACAAUUUUUUAUUUAUUGACUAAUUUAUCAAUUAUUUUUGUUAAUAGGAAGAAAUGAUGAAGGGUUUAAAGGGGAAACGAGUUUCUGAUUUUAGAAUUUUUUAGAGCAAAAAAGGGUCUGUUUCUGUCAGACUCUGUCAGAGUAAUUAUAAUUAUGAAUGAAUUAUUACAACAAUGAUAUUUAUUUCUUAUUUAUUGAGUCUGUUUUUGAUCCAAUCUCUUUUUAAGUUAAAAUAAAAAGUAUUAUACAUCAAA